AUGAUGUAUAACCAACUUUUAAAAAAAAAAAAUAAAGAAAAGAUUGAUAAGAGGAAAAGGAAAAAAAUCGAAAAGGAGAGAGAAAGGGAAAGGGGGAGAGAAAGGGAAAGGGAGAGAGAAAGGGAAAGGGAGAGAGAAAGGGAAAGGGAGAGAGAAAGGGAAAAGAAAAUGAUCAAACGAGCAAACAUAAAAGCAGACCAGACAAACAUAAAAGCAGACCAGACAAACAAAAAAGCAGACCAAACAAACAAAAAAACAGACCAAACAAACAAAAAAACAGACCAAACAAACAAAAAAACAGACCAAACAAACCAAACAGACCCAAUAACUACAAACAAACAAGCUAUUCAUGAUGAUCCUACUUCACCUGCUACCACCCUUUUCGAAACUUAUGUUAAUAACACAUUUAAUUAUAAAAAUUUAAAAAAAAAAAAAAAAGAUUUGAUAUUUUAUAAUACAUAUGCAUGUUCACCUGAUGAAAUCAAGUGUAAUACAGCUGACACAUAUAAAGAGUUAAUAAAAAAAAACUCAAAAACAAAAUAUGAUAGUUUUUAUAUAUCAGAAACUAAUAUGCAUGAUAAUAUUCGUCGUGAUUUGGUUGAUAAUAAAGAUGAGCACAAAAACAAACAAGUGAGUAAUACAGAUUUAUCCAUAUCUAUGGAAGUACGUAAUAAUAAAAUGAGAGUUGUAGAUGAUGAUAAAAAUAUAUUAAAAAGUGAUCAGAUCCCACAACGUGAACAAACUGGGAAAACUGAAGAAACUUUACUAACUAGGAAAAGUGGACAAAGUGAAAAAAGUGGAUUAACUUGGAAAACUGAAGAAACGGUACAAACGGAAAAUAGUAAACAACUAAAAAGUAGUAAAAAAUAUAUGUUACAAAAAUCAUCAGAUGUGAUAAGAAACAUAAGUUAUACAAAAUAUAAUAAUGUAUUAGAAAAAGUAAGUUUAAAUAUGUAUUAUUAUUUAGAAGGUCUUAAAUAUAACAUAUACAGAUUUCAUUUUCCAGACUGUAUGAAAGGAUUAUUAUUUCAAACAGCUUCCGAAUAUUUAUAUCAAAAAUAUAAUGUUUUUUUAAUUGGUGUUAUAACAAUUAAUAAAGAAAUCUUUUUAAAUCCAGUAAAUUAUAUUAUAGGAGAAGAAAAAAAAUAUUAUUAUACUUCUACUUUUUCGGGUAUUAUAUUAACUACUACCUUAGAUUGUUUGGUCAAAUUAUCUUCUAUUAAAUAUAUAUCAAAAGAUAUAUAUGAGUAUAAUAUUAGACAAAUUUAUGCUAAAUGGAAAAAUAAAAAAAAUAAAAUCAACGCAAGAGUUGAUGAUAAUAACAUUUCCAUACAUGUUGCAGAUAAUAAAAACAAAGCAACUAACAUGAAUUUACAAAAAUCAACCAGUUUUAACACAAAUAACAAUAAAGUUGUUAAAGAAAACUAUGGAUUUAAUCUUGUAAGAAUGGAUAAUAACAAUAAAGGCAAAAACCGAAAAAAGGAACACAACAAUUAUUCUUUAUGUGAACGUAAUAUAAAUAAAAGCAAAAUAAGAAAAAAAAAUAUGUUGUAUAAUUUUUUUUUAGGUAUAUAUGAAAUAGAUAACUAUAUUAUUGCUUAUAAAGAUAUUUUUUAUAAUAAAAAAAAACCGUUGCUAUUAAUAUGUGGUUGGCCUUAUAAUAUACAAUUAUUGUUUAAGUAUUUAAAAAUUGAUUUAUAUAAUCAUUAUAACGACAGUAAUGAUAAAAAUAAUAACAAUAAUAAAAAUAACAAUAAUAAUAAAAAUAACAAUAAAAAAUAA
ensembl:lncRNA